rnacentral:rRNA from 1 species
GACGGGGGGUGCAAGCGUUGUUCGGAAUUACUGGGCGUAAAGGGGUUGUAGGUGGCUUGUUAAGUCAGACGUGAAAUCCCUCAGCUUAACUGGGGAACUGCGUCUGAUACUGGCGAGCUUGAGUGCAGGAGAGGAACGCGGAAUUCCAGGUGUAGCGGUGAAAUGCGUAGAUAUCUGGAGGAACACCGGUGGCGAAGGCGGCGUUCUGGACUGCAACUGACACUGAUAAACGAAAGCCAGGGUAGCAAACGGG